CUCCAGUAUUUCCUUCGGUUGCCUGCCUGAAAAAGAGGACCUGCUGCCACAUUUGCCAGGCAAGAAGAGGAAAGAGCAAUUCCUCUUCUUGGCAGAGCACACUGUGAAGCCUGUGCUACCACCAAUGAUAAAUGGUUUGAUCAAGGAGUGCCGCCUUCUUCCGUUUGCCUCAUCAGAAAUCCAGCCCAGCAUGCUGAAGUAGAAG